rnacentral:rRNA from 1 species
ACAAUCGACUCACAGGACAUGGACAACAGGACUUCCCGUUCGCUCAGUCAUACUUAAGCCAUGUGCCGGCCGGUUAGUAGUUGGGUGGGUGACCACCAGCGAAUACCUGCUGUUGAUUGUU